GGUGUUUAUGAUUAACUAGCAAUUGCGCUGUCUUUCGGUAAUUACUGACACAAUGUGGACUGUAUGGUUAGCCAUGUCAGUACCUCACCCGACGGAUUUUGUUGAAGAGAAUUUAAAUUUCCACCAAAGCUCUGAUGUUCCUUGAUUGUUCCAACUGAGAAGCUGUUUGCAUUCCUAAAGGGGAUUCAUGCCACCCAGAUAGAGCUUUACACCAAACUGGUCAUUUUUGCCAAUGAUCUGGAACAAAGGAGUAGACCAGCUCUUCUGCAUCUGAUCAGUGCGUUGGGGCAGCAGCCAGUCACUCGGCGAGCUCGACUGAAGAUAUCCCCUUACACAUGUGGAGUUCAGGGGCCACAGCAACCCUUUUGGAGCACAGGCUUGCAUGGAGGAACAGACAGAAGAGAGGAGGGAAGUUGGAUGAUGAUGGUGGGGAGACAUGUAACUAGAGGGAAGCCAAGAAAAGCUUCUUAUAAAUACAUAUAUAACACAUUUUAUACACAGUGGGAGACUCAGUGAAGGUUACAUGAGGAUUAAGAAGAGAAGAACAAAGACGAGUGAGGAGAAAAUUGUGAUAAUAAUAAUGCUGGGAGUAAUAAUAAUAAUAAUAGCUAUUUGCAACACGUUUAUAUUAUUCAGCUACAAAGAAUGUGCUGCACAUUAUUAAAAAUAAACAAAAAAAAUGCAUUUUAGCACUUCUUUUAAAAGGGAUUAACGACUAAAUUCGUGGUGCUUGCACUUUCCAUUUCAUUCCACAGACAAAUGUCAAAAGAAAGAAAAAACUUGAACCUUGCCUUGUUACGCUGUGGAGGGCAUUUUGCUGCCAUGGUUUGUUUCCAUUAGUCACCCUGAAAAAGGAAAAGUCUCUGCAAAUCAAUACAAAGUUGUUCUGAGUGAUCACCUUUGUCCUGGUGGGAGUAAUCUCCUCCAGGAAGUCCUCAUCCAUGGGGCACAAGAGAUCACUGAAUACUCUGAUGAGCAUGUAAAUGAUGGAAAUUAUGUGCUGUGGCCGUCACCAUCACCAGAUCUCAACCCAGCUUAAUACACUGGGAGAUUUUAGACAGGUAUGCCAGAUUGCUCUCUCCAUCACCAUCAUCAAAACACCAGCUGAGGGAACAUCCUUUGGAAGAAUUGUGUUCGUCCCUCCAGCAGAGAUCAAGAAAUGUGUAGAAUCAACUCACAACUGCAGUUACCCAACGCCUCACCAAGACACUUUAUGCUGUUUUUUUCUCUUUAAUUCAAUAACAAUGCACUUAAUAGUAGUUCCACUACAUUUCAUAUGAAAAUCUUGUACAUUUUACUCAACCACAUUAUCAAGCAGGUUCCGUUGCUUGUUACCGUGCAGAUUAAGAUCUUGUGCAUCUAUAACUCUAUUUGUAUAGCACCUUUGGAAAGUGGAAGUGCUUUAUGAAACAUAAAAUACAUGAAACAGUAGAUAAAACAAUAAAAAAGGCAAUAAAACAUUAGUAAAGACAGGCCAACGCUUAAAAAAAUGAUCACAGCAAAUGAGAGAAAGAAUAAUAUUUUCUUCAGUGUGGAACGAGAGAUAUUUAGCAGUAGCUGAUUCUCAGAUCUCAAGGGUCAGGUGCAGAAUAUAGUAAAUUUCAGAGAUGCAGAGUAAAGUGAGAUUUUAUACACUAGUUUGAUCCACCUACAAAACACAGUGCACUGUUAAAUGCCCAAACAGUUUUUAACACAGUUAAAAAUAGCUGCACUUAAACUAGGUGUGACUCACAUAUUAAUGCAUCAAUAUAAAUACUCCAGCAGUAUAAGAAGAGGAGAAUUUACCAGCAAGUCAAUUUGUACAAACAUUAUAUAAUUUUAUCCUUUUACUGCUUUUAACUUUACAUGCUCUCAAGUACACAAAUGUUUGAAUGCUCUUUAAAUAUUCCACAUUGUUUACUAUUACUCAGCAUACGAGUGGUAUCCAGAUGUUUCUGUGUUAUCACUUGCAGGGGUACGGUUCAAAGGAAAAACAUGAUGAAAUAACCCCAGCCCUACCAAGAAAAUCCAUCACACCCUUGCAUACGCUUCCUCAUCCCACACACUCACUUAUAUUAUGAAAGAAUUCCAUGGAAAUUCCCAUAAACUUAAUGACAGAGUGAGAGAGGCAGAGAUACGGCACCGGGGAAAAAAAGGGUUCUUUUGAAUUGUAAAAAUAAAUAAACAUGUUUGGGCUUAUAGCUCGGAACAUUAAGCCCCACAGUGAGAAUCUUUCCUGGCAGAGUCCCAGCAGCAGACGAAAGACAAUCCCACUUUAAACACAGGCGUAGGAACGUAUCAUUUAUCGUUCCCCAUUAUGGCAGGUCAGAGCUGUUAUGAUCUAAUAGCUCAGGUGGAGCUACCGCUCUCUGUGUUUCUAGAAAAUUCAUAUACAAAUACUUUGAGCCUCUACUGUGUGCAGUCAUGGUUAUUUAGAGAGGAAAAAUAUCUCAUUCUAGCUAGUGUGUGCACAUCUGGCAACCUUUAUUGUCCUUUCUUGUAAACAAGAAUACAACAAUUGAAUAGAAAUGAAUCUUAUAACAAGCUGCAUCCCACCAGAUGUGCAUCCAAAAAGAGUUCAGUUUCUCCUAGUUAAAUCAUCAUAUAGGUUUAACGAAAAGGAGUUACUGUCAGUCGGUAAGACAUAAGAAGAUUUUACAGACCUUUAAGCUACUUAUAGUUUAUGUGCUAAAGUGGUGAAAUCUGUAGGCCUGUGCAUAAUGUUAGUGGGAAAAUGUGGAGCUUCAUGGUGGAUGAUGUUUGGUCAAGGUCUCCAGCAAGUCUCGCUUCAUCAGAUGGCGCUGAUUAAAGUCUCGGUUCUAAGGAAUCACAUGACUCAGAGAACAUCUGUUCAGGAUACAGCAAGGAUCUCCUCAAUAUUUAAUUAAUCAAACUCUCGGCCUGCUGGGGUUGAAGUAGAAAUUACUGCUAAUUCACAGUGGGGAGCAUUUAAUAAGGUUGCUGGGAGUCAUUCAGAGGUGAAUCACUAAACCCUGGUUCCUUAGCAGUUAAGCUCUCUUUUACGUACACUGACUAAGAGUGUGGUUACAUGUACAGUGUAUUACAGCCUGUAUUAUAUUUGAAGUUGUAGCAAUCUUGUUAUGUUUCCUGUUAGGUUUUAUCAUUUACCUUCUAUUAUCCUAAAAAUCGGAAACCCUCGCUGCUCACAGAAUAAGAGUGAAAGUAUGAACUAGUUGUAAGAACUGGACUUCUUUGAUAUUUGACUCAGAAGAUGCACACAAAAAUGUAUGACGAUGUCAGCCGUUGUACUGGGUCCAUCAAUCUGGCAUAUAAAUUUUCUUUGAUCAUCAAUAGGAGUGUUGAUUUUCAACCUCGAAUGAUCCCAAUAUUGUCCAUAUAAGUGAAAGCUGACAUCAAACACAACUGCCAUGCCAAUGGACUCCAUAAUAAUAAUACAGUCAAAAGAAAAGGUCGUAGCAUGCAAUUAGUUCAUAUUUUCUUAAGCUGACCCACUGAACCUCCUUUAAUAUCUAGGUUACUGAGGAAGAUCCAUGGUUGUCUUCAGGACAACAGCUGAAUUAAUACUAAGAAUGAUCUCAGUUCAAGGAGAAUGGUUCAUUCAAAGAGGAAGGAGGUUUAAGCCAACAUUGCUAACUAAAAGAACUAAACAGAACGACUCUGUGGGCUGCGAGCGACUUCCAGUCUGCUGUGAAUAACAGCACAAAGGGAGUUCAGGCUGUGUAGGCCAGCACGACACAACAUGGGCUUGAAACUGUCUGACAUAAACUGAUGAGAGCUGAAGCCAACAGAAACAUGAGUACUUGACUACUGACAAAGCAUUUAUGUGUGCUCAGGCAGUUCCUGUUGGCUCUGCUGAGCAUUUCCACAUGUUUUGGUUCUAAUUUUACAGUUCUGAUAGCGUGUCAUUAUGCUGAUAUGCCGUUUUUGGAAGUAGCAAGCAGCUGCUUUUAAUAAAAAGCUAACUGUACACUACCUGCUUGGCACUAAAUGGCAGAUGGUGACUAAAUAGCUGGCAUACAGGGGUAUUUAGAAGGGGUUGGUGGAGACCUAAGAGUUAAUAUUAAAUUUAUAUUUACUAUGUCACCAGAAACACAAAUUUAAAUGAAUGCUGAUGUUGCUCAGUAUCUGUGCGCAAGUUGCCAAAAAUUUGGUCAUCGCAGGUUCAAGUAAAGUGAACCUUGAACUGCACAUUUCUGACCUGCAGGUCCUGACCUCACCAAGAUGUUAGCAGCAGAUCCUUUAAGUCCUGUAAGUUUCAAGGUGGGGCCUCCAUGCAUCAGACAAACCUUAACUCAUAGAUCCUCGAUUGAGUUGAGAUGUGGAGAAUUUGGAGAUCAAGUCAACACCUCAAAUUCAUUAAUGUGCUCCUCAAACCAUUCCUGAAUCAUUUUUGCUCUGUGGCACAGUGUAUUAUCCUCCUGAAAAAGGUCACAGCCAUCAGGAAUUACUGUUUCCAUGACAGGCUGUACAUGGUCUGCAACAAUGCUUAGGUAGGUGGUACUUGUCAAAGUAACAUCCACGUGGAUGGCAGGACCCAAGGUUUCCCAGCAGAACGUUGCCCAAAGCAUCACACUGGCUUACCUUCUUCCCAUAGUGCAUCCUGGUGCCAUGUGUUCCCUGGAUAAUCAACAUACCCAGCCAUCCACGCGAUGUAAAAGAAAACGUGAUUUAUCCGACCAGGCCACCUUCUUCCAUUGCCCUGUGGUCCAGUUCUGAUGCCCAUUGUUGGUGCUUUCAGGAGUGUCAUCGCAAUUUGGCCCUUCUCAAACUCACUCAAAUCCUUAUGUUUGCCCAUUUUUCCUGCUUCUAACACAUUAACUUUGAGAGCCACUUGCUGCCUAAUAUAUCCAACCCACUAACAUGUGCCAUGAUGAAAAGACAAUCAUUGUUAUUCACUUCACCUGUCAGUGGACAUAAUGUUUAGCCUGAUCGGUGUAAAUCACAACACCAUUUAAAAUUAAAUGUUGAUCAGUAUAUUCAAAAGCAAACAUUUAUCCUACAAUAUGAGGCUUUCAAGAACCAAAAUAUGCUGAAACAAUAUCAAGAAGUAAUUUGCCAUGAUACAAAUGAACAGCUCAGAAAACCUUUUUACUAGUGAUUAGCAUCAGUUAAACCAAACCUCAACCCAGUUCCACUCCAGCCCCACGCUAUUACUCAAGCUGAGAUUAUGAAGUAAACACUGUAAGGUCCUUUCUGCCGGUAGCCUUUUUUAUUUGUUUUUGUAACUGUACUCCAUAUGUUCAUCUGUCAUUAAGCCUGCUUUGCUGCAGUAACAGGCCUGCUAUUCAUACAGAUAAGAGGCAGGUCAGUGUAAUUGCCGUGUGGCCCAGCAGUCACGGCACGGUCGCUGAUGCUCUGCCAGCACACAAUCAAGAUGCCUGCUCCAGAUUAUCACGCUGUAAACAAACUGGUGCAGGCCUCUCCCUCAGCGAACUGUCAGACCUCUUUCAUGCGUUGGGAUUAGCAUUUCAACUGUCAGCUACCAGACUGAGCUCACCACUUCUCUCUUGAUAUAUUGAGUAAAUACGCCUGGAACAAAAGAAUCAGAUUAACAAAAAUAGCAAUCCUGGCUAAACAGUGCUCCAUGAGUUGAUUAAUUGAUCACAUAUUUUACAGUCUUUACAAUGAUAUUUCCUUCUUUUUCUGGUGGUGUUUUUCAAUCCACAGCAUUCACAAGUGGUUCUCUGAUGCUCUAUUUGACUGAAGAUGCUAUUAAUUUAACUGCUUCUCUCGUGAAGAACAGCGAAUCAGUAAAAUGUCUGUUUUUAGACGACUGUGAAUUGUAAAUGUGGGGAAACAUUAAAGCUGUCUUUUAUGACUCAGAGCCCUUUUUUUCAUUUGCAGCUUCUAAUUAAACUAAAGAAACAUAACACUGUAAAUGUGAAAUAAUUGCUCCUGUUUUAGCACAUAUGAAAUGUUCAACUAUAAAGACAUAACCACACAAUCUGUGUCUGCAAUAUUUUUCAUUUCUUGCUUUCUUACACAGCAGUUGAAGUGGGACAAAAUGUGCCACAGUGUUGCUCAACAAACCUUACAGCUUGCGGAAAACAAACAUCUUUCCCAAUUUUUGUUGUUUGUGUGCAGCCAAUAUUUGCCUUAAGCUACAAUCUGUUUUUAAUUUCUCUCC